rnacentral:rRNA from 1 species
UCUGGAGACAGGUGCUGCAUGGCUGUCGUCAGCUCGUGUCGUGAGAUGUUCGGGUUAAGUCCCGCAACGAGCGCAACCCUUGCCUUUAGUUGCCAGCAGUUCGGCUGGGCACUCUAAAGGGACUGCCGGUGUUAAACCGGAGGAAGGUGGGGAUGACGUCAAGUCCUCAUGGCCUUUAUGACCAGGGCUACACACGUACUACAAUGGCCGAUACAAAGGGCAGCGACACUGCGAGGUGAAGCCAAUCCCGUAAAAUCGGUCUCAGUCCGGAUUGGAGUCUGCAACUCGACUCCAUGAAGUUGGAAUCGCUAGUAAUCGUGGAUCAGCAUGCCACGGUGAAUACGUUCCCGGGCCUU